rnacentral:lncRNA from 1 species
AGGCUUCCAACAAAACUGCAAUUGCACCCAAUGCUAUGAUCACCCCAAUAUAAGCCCUCUUCCAAUUUUUCUGUCCAUUUAAAGCAUCAAAUCCCUCAAAUACAUUGAUGAUGCUAAGAAUGAUGACAGUGUAUCCAAUAGUAUGGUGGUAGAUGUUCCAGUAGAGUCUGUACUUGUGGUCUGGCUUUGGCCUCAAAAGCAGGGCAAAAACCUAUGAUAUAAUACAGCAAUUAAAACUUGGAAUUUGUGUCUUGUUAAAGAAAAAGGUAACAAUCAAAUAAAUGGAGACAUACCUGAAGGGUUCCAAGGCAGAAGAGAGUAAUGCCAAUGUUCCUGUGAGUGUUGAAUUUAAUUCCAACAGAAUCACUGCCAAGCUUGAGACCAGUGCCCCAUCCAGCAACACCAACAGCAUAAGCAGAGGUUUGGCAAGCAACAUGUAGGUAAAACCAAGCUGGAUUUGCUGACUUGAACACUUUCAAGUACCUUGCAAAUACAGCACCCAUUGGCAUCAUUACUCCCCAACUAAUUGCAUUCAGCACUCCAUGUGUCUGUCAUCAAAAUUAAAUUAGUUUCUUUAAUACUACUAAA